GGUUUUGACUGCAAUAAUAAGUUGAAUGGAGAUUCUGUGAAAGCGGCAAUAUAACUGCAGAUAUGCCGACGGUUAAAGAUAUUUAGCACCCUCCGAAGAGGCACAAGCUCUUACGUUGGAUUUGGGGAUUUUUCAAUAAAUCUUAAACCAUCAGUCAAGUGUGAAACCAUCUUUCGGGGGAAUGCUACAACAGCGAUUCUUCCAACUCUUUCUUCAAGACUCAACUUGUAGUAAUCUUUUUUGCGUCAUGAGUCUCAAAAGCAUGCAGUCACCCGAGCUGGAGGCCCAAUGAAGGUGUGUGCAACUUGAAACGGCUGAGAAGAAUAGGAGCGUGAUUGGGUUUCUAAUAUGACGGCCGCACUUCCAAACUCACUUUCUCCACUUCGUUGAAGAAGCGCACAAGUCGAGACACCCGCACCAGACGUAUGAGGCUGAGGAUCCGAACAAACAUGAGGAUUCUCAUCAUUCUGUUUGCCUUGGAGGGGUUGUCCUCAUUAUUGUACUGUAAGUCCUGUGGCAAGAAAACACAGAAAACUAACAUUAUGGGUGAAUAAGAUUCACAAUGUUUUUCAUUCAUUAUAAUUCACUCCAGACCAGAUACGGUCAGUUUGUUCAAAUUGUACCGCAAAGAAGAGGAUGUAUCCGAUGGGGAAUGCUGCGAUCACAUCUGGUAUGAACCAACUCCUCAAAUAGCUUAUCCGGAUCUGCUUGAGGUCCAAAAUGGCGACCUGUCACACAGGACCAGGCAACAUAUGACAAAAAAGAAAAAAUUAAAUGACACGGUUAAAACAA